AGGAUGAACGCUAGCGGCAGGCCUAAUACAUGCAAGUCGAACGGACUCAGGGGCUUCGGUUCCUGGGUUAGUGGCGCACGGGUGCGUAACGCGUAUGCAACCUACCUUCUAUUGGGGGAUAGCCCCGGGAAACCGGGAUUAAUACCGCAUGACACAACAGCCUGGCAUCAGGCAAUUGUUAAAGUUUCGGCGAUAGAAGAUGGGCAUGCGUGCCAUUAGCUAGAUGGCGGGUAACGCCC
rnacentral:rRNA from 1 species